CAGUCCAUCAACAAAGUGCAUUCGUAUGGCAUAAGUAAUCAGUUUUAGGCAAUUGUCAAUUGAGGAGUUGUCUCUUUAAAGUAGACACUUCACAGGAAAGACUUCUUGUGAUAGCCCUAAGUUCAAUCUAUAGCACCCUGGUAUUAAAUAUGCU